AGACAGGGAAAGUAAUUCUCUUUAAUUAUUCUUAGAGCAAUUUUGAGUAAUGUAGGUUAAAUUAAAAAAAUAUACAAGCAAGAUAUUUUGGCUGGGAAGUAUGUGUAAUGUAUGAACAGCAGGAAAAAAAAAAGCCUUCCUUUCUAAAUAGAAAAUCUUUGAAAGUAACAGGGGGAAACGGAUGGGAAGGGCUGAAGUCCAUAUAUUCCCACCUCCUCCGCCUUGUGCUCUCUUAAAGGUGAGCUGCAAAAUGCAAAAGAGAAAUGUGUUAAAUUCAGAUGACUCGCUCGGGUGUCAGGAAGUGGCUCGAACAACCACACGAAGUUAACUAACACAUUCCCUUUUUUUUUUUGUUCAUCCCCUCCCUCCCCUGCUCUUCUCGUGAAAUCUAGUUUUUUGCUGCUGUGGUUUCUGCCUCCAGGCGGGAGCGCAGCCACUUGUCCACCCGAGCAGCACCCUGAGACCCCCCCAUGGCUUUCAGGGAGCCAAGAAUUUGUGGGAGGAUCUUCCAGAAAGUAAGAAAGGAGGAGAUUUUUAGAAAAUGUAUUCCUGAUCUAAACAGCCUGGCUGCAGGAGAAAUGAGAUAAACUCUGAGGGAUGGCAUGUUGAGCUUGUGUUGCUUUGCUGCUCAUCUUUUGUCUGAUUAAUCCAUCUUAUUAUCAUCCACCUGCUCUGUUCUAGGUCUUCUUCAGCAACAUGGUUGAUGCCAUUCAUGGAGUUGAGUAUCCUGGUCUCAGGAACUCAAAAUGCACUGAAGGAGCAAAACUGCAACCCACCCAAUGCAAUUCCUAUAAACACAAUGUGCCAAGGUUUCCAACAAGCACCAGCUCUGGUAACCACAAUCAUUGCCAUUCCAUGCCUUACUGAAAACUGGUCAGGAUGGUUUUGGAGAACUGGACAGCCCCUGAUCUUUCUGAGGAAGGAAAAAGGAGCUCAGCUGAGGUAUGUUUUUACACAGAGUGAGGUUAUCUUUGCUCCUCUGUCUUGUAUACAGAUGCUGAUCUGCAAAACCCAGCCCUGCUCUGGUCUGCAUGUCCCACUCUCUGUUUUGGGAGGGGAGAAGGGAAUGAGCUCAGGUGUGGGAGGGCUGAGUUGAGGCCAUGAUUAUUGGGGAAAACAUUAACAUGGAGCUCAUAGAGAGAAACAAGUUUGAUGCCCCAACUGAAAACUUAACCACCAAGCACUUGGUCUCAAGUGGAGACCAAGUGCUUGAUAAAAUGGAUCAUUUUAUUCUCAGAAAGUGGGGCAUAAAUAGAGUUAAUUGUGACCAGAACCCACAGCAAUAACCUGUUUAUGGGAAAACUCUAGUCCUAGUCUAGAAGAGCCAUAAUCUUACCCUGCCAUCUGAAAUUUGUUUCUUUAUUAAGA
rnacentral:lncRNA from 1 species